UUGAACCUGGAGGCAAGCAGAUCC
rnacentral:piRNA from 1 species